UACGUAGGGUGCAAGCGUUAAUCGGAAUUACUGGGCGUAAAGCGUGCGCAGGCGGUUGUGUAAGACAGAUGUGAAAUCCCCGGGCUCAACCUGGGAACUGCAUUUGUGACUGCACAGCUGGAGUGCGGCAGAGGGGGAUGGAAUUCCGCGUGUAGCAGUGAAAUGCGUAGAUAUGCGGAGGAACACCGAUGCGAAGGCAAUCCCCUGGGCCUGCACUGACGCUCAUGCACGAAAGCGUGGGGAGCAAACAGG
rnacentral:rRNA from 1 species